UCCCCCCUAUUUGAUGCGGGUGCUACACAUGCAAGUCGAACGAUGAACCUGGAGCUUGCUCUAGGGAAUUAGUGGCGAACGGGUGAGUAACACGUGAGUAACCUGCCCUUGACUCUGGGAUAACCUCCGGAAACGGAAGCUAAUACCGGAUAUGACGCACGGAGGCAUCUCCUGUGCGUGGAAAGAACUUCGGUCAAGGAUGGACUCGCGGCCUAUCAGGUAGUUGGUGAGGUAACGGCCCACCAAGCCUACGACGGGUAGCCGGCCUGAGAGGGUGACCGGCCACACUGGGACUGAGACACGGCCCAGACUCCUACGGGAGGCAGCAGUGGGGAAUAUUGCACAAUGGGCGAAAGCCUGAUGCAGCAACGCCGCGUGAGGGAUGACGGCCUUCGGGUUGUAAACCUCUUUUAGUAGGGAAGAAGCGAAAGUGACGGUACCUGCAGAAAAAGCACCGGCUAACUACGUGCCAGCAGCCGCGGUAAUACGUAGGGUGCGAGCGUUGUCCGGAAUUAUUGGGCGUAAAGAGCUCGUAGGCGGUCUGUCGCGUCUGCUGUGAAAACCCGAGGCUCAACCUCGGGCUUGCAGUGGGUACGGGCAGACUAGAGUGCGGUAGGGGAGAAUGGAAUUCCUGGUG
rnacentral:rRNA from 1 species